rnacentral:sRNA from 1 species
GACACAUUCCUGCGAGCAGCCUGGGGAGAGGAAACAGACUACACUCCCGUUUGGUGCAUGCGCCAGGCAGGCCGUUACUUACCAGAGUUUAGGGAAACCCGGGCUGCCCAGGACUUUUUCAGCACGUGUCGCUCUCCUGAGGCCUGCUGUGAACUGACUCUGCAGGUGAGGGGUCCACAAAAGAGGGAAAGAUUUAUGCCUUCAGUCUUCCACCUAGCAACCUGUCUCCUGUUUCCUACAGCCACUGCGUCGCUUCCCUCUGGAUGCUGCCAUCAUUUUCUCCGACAUCCUUGUUGUACCCCAGAUGUUUUCUCCUUCUCCAGGCACUGGGCAUGGAGGUGACCAUGGUACCUGGCAAAGGACCCAGCUUCCCAGAGCCAUUAAGAGAAGAGCAGGACCUAGAAUGCCUACGGGAUCCAGAAGUGGUAGCCUCUGAGCUAGACUAUGUGUUCCAAGCCAUCACCCUUACCCGACAACGACUGGCUGGACGUGUGCCGCUGAUUGGCUUUGCUGGUGCCCCAUGGACCCUGAUGACAUACAUGGUUGAGGGUGGUGGCUCAAGCACCAUGGCUCAGGCCAAGCGCUGGCUCUAUCAGAGACCUCAGGCUAGUCACCAGCUGCUUCGCAUCCUC